GUAGGGUGCAGGCGUUAAUCGGAAUUACUGGGCGUAAAGCGUGCGCAGGCGGUUUGCUAAGACAGGUGUGAAAUCCCCGGGCUUAACCUGGGAACUGCGCUUGUAACUGGCAAGCUAGAGUGUGGCAGAGGGGGGUGGAAUUCCAAGUGUAGCAGUGAAAUGCGUAGAUAUUUGGAGGAUCACCGAUGGCGAAGGCAGCCCCCUGGGCUAACACUGACGCUCAUGCACGAAAGCGUGGGGAGCAAACAGGAUUAGAUACCCUGGUAGUCCACGCCCUAAACUAUGUCAACUGGUUGUCGGGGAAGCAAUUCCUUGGUAACGAAGCUAACGCGUGAAGUCGACCGCCUGGGGAGUACGGCCGCAAGGUUA
rnacentral:rRNA from 1 species